UGUUUUUCAAAGGACGUACACAUAAAUAUAUAUACACACAUACACACACACACAACGUACAUACAUACAUACAUGCAUACAUUUGAUCCGCGCACACCCAUAAUUUUUUUAAAAACUUUCGUGCCUUUUUUUCCGUUGUGCGAUCUCCCUCAUAACGAAAAAAAAAAAAACAAACACACACACACACACACACACACACAUACACACAGAUAAGACGGGGUAUAAGUUAAAGCGUACAUACGUAUGAUGUUGAGUAACGACGCGUUCUUAAUAUCUCAAAAAUAAAAAAAAAGUUCCUUUCUGCAGAUCGUCUCGAUCGAAAUCCAAUAUGAAAUGAUCGAGAUUAUUUCUUGCCUAUAAAAUUCCUUUUGCAAAAAAGAGGAAGCGCAAUAUAUUUUGGAAAAAAAGGAAUGAGAAAGAGAUAGAUAGAUAGAUAGAUAGAUAGAUAGAUAGAUAGAUAGAUAGAUAGAUAGAUAGACAGAUAGAUAGGUAGGUAGAUAGGUAGGUAAAUAGAUAGGUAGAUAGGUAGAUAGACAGGUAGAUAGAAAGAAAGAGAUAGAGAUAGAGAUAAAGAUAACGAACGAAUUAAUCAUAAGAAUGGGGGAAGGGGGGAGAAAGAAAAUCACAACAAAAGCAAACGAACAAAUAAACAAACAAACAAACAAAAUAAACUGAGAAUCCUGCCGUUCGUUUUGGAGAAAUCGAGACUGGCAAAACAUCGUCCAACGCGGAUUUUGAAAAUUUAUCGCGACGGGCUUUAUUCGCGCGCUUUGUCAUUAUUAUUAUCAUUAUUAUCAUUAUUAUUAUUAUUAUCAUUAUCAUUAUUAUUAUUAUUAUUAUUAUUAUUAUUAUUAUUAUUAUUAUUAUUAUUAUUACUAUUACUAUUAUUACUAUUAUCAUUGUUAUUAUUGUUAUUAUUAUUAUUAUCAUUAUUAUUAUUAUUGUUGUUGUUAUCUUCUUGUAAGAUUACCUCGAACGCUUUAUUGUCUUUCGACAAUAUUGACUAAUAUCCCGCGCGAGCCUUUUUUAACAACCCCUUUCGGCACAGGGACGUUCAACGCGAGGAGUAGCGCAUUUUUAACGGAGGAAACGAAAGAAACAAGGAAGAAGAAAAAAAAAGAAGAUAAAGUAGUAGAAGAAAUAGAAGAUAAAGAAGAGGGAGGAAAAGAAGAAGAAGAAAAAAAGAGAAACAAAAUAAAAGGGACGUUCAACGCGAGGAGUAGCGCAUUUUUAACGGAGGAAACGAAAGAAACAAGGAAGAAGAAAAAAAAAGAAGAUAAAGUAGUA